rnacentral:rRNA from 1 species
GACGAACCGUGCGAACGUUGUUCGGAAUCACUGGGCUUAAAGGGCGCUAAGGCGGGGAGCCAAGUCGGUGGUGAAAUCUUUCGGCUUAACCGGAAAAUUGCCUUCGAUACUGGCUGUCUUGAGGGAGGUAGGGGCAGAUGGAACUUCCGGUGGAGCGGUGAAAUGUGUUGAAAUCGGAAGGAACGCCGGUGGCGAAAGCGACCUGCGGGACCCCUUGUGACUCUGAGGCGCGAAAGCUAGGGGAGCAAACGGG